rnacentral:rRNA from 1 species
CCUACGGGGGGCUGCAGUGGGGAAUAUUGGGCAAUGGGCGCAAGCCUGACCCAGCAACGCCGCGUGAAGGAAGAAGGCUUUCGGGUUGUAAACUUCUUUUCUCAGGGACGAAGCAAGUGACGGUACCUGAGGAAUAAGCCACGGCUAACUACGUGCCAGCAGCCGCGGUAAUGCGUGGGUGGCAAGCGUUAUCCGGAUUUACUGGGCGUCAAGGGCGUGUAGGCGGGGACGCAAGUCAGAUGUGAAAACCACGGGCUCAACCUGUGGCCUGCAUUUGAAACUGUGUUUCUUGAGUACUGGAGAGGCAGACGGAAUUGCUAGGGGAGCGGUGAAAUGCGUAGAUAUUAGGAGGAACACCAGUGGCGAAGGCGGUCUGCUGGACAGCAACUGACGCUGAGGCGCGAAAGCGUGGGGAGCAAACAGGAUUAGAUACCCUGGUAGUC